GACGAACGCUGGCGGCGUGCUUAACACAUGCAAGUCGAACGGAAAGGCCCUGCUUUUUUGGGGUUCUCGAGUGGCGAACGGGUGAGGAACACGUGAUUAACCUGCCCUUGACUUUGGGAUAACUUCAGGAAACUGGGGCUACUACCGUAUAGGAGCUCCUGCUGCAGGGUGGGGGUUGGAAAUUUUCGGCGGUUGGGGCUGGACUCGCGGCUGAUCAGCUUGUUGGUGGGCUAGUGGCUUACCAAGGCUUUGACGGGUAGCCGGCCUGAGAGGGUGACCGGCCACAUUGGGACUGAGAUACGGAGCAGACUGAUACGGUAGGCAGCAGUGGCGAACAUUGCACAAUGGGAGGAAGCCUGAUGCAGCAACGCCGCGUUCGGGAUGACGGCUUUCGGGUUGUAAACAGCUUCAGCUUGUGACGAAGCGUGAGUGACGGUAAUGGGUAAAGAAGCACCGGCUAACUACGUG
rnacentral:rRNA from 1 species